rnacentral:rRNA from 1 species
UACGGAGGGUGCGAGCGUUGUCCGGAAUCAUUGGGCGUAAAGGGCGCGUAGGUGGCGCGGUAAGCGUGCGGUGAAAGCCUGGGGCUCAACCCCGGGUCGGCCGUGCGAACUGCUGGGCUUGAGCACUGUAGAGGCAGGCGGAAUUCCGGGUGUAGCGGUGGAAUGCGUAGAGAUCGGGAAGAACACCAGUGGCGAAGGCGCUCUACUAGGCCGUGACUGACACUGAGAGACGAUAGCUAGGGGAGCGAAUAGGA